rnacentral:rRNA from 1 species
UUGACCUCAAAUCAGGUAGGACUACCCGCUGAACUUAAGCAUAUCAAUAAGCGGAGGAAAAGAAACUAACAAGGAUUCCCCUAGUAACUGCGAGUGAAGCGGGAAAAGCUCAAAUUUAAAAUCUGAGGGUCCUUGUGGCCUUCCGAGUUGUAAUCUAGAGAAGUGCUAUCCGCGCUGGACCGUGUACAAGUCUCCUGGAACGGAGCGUCAUAGAGGGUGAGAAUCCCGUCUUUGACACGGACUACCAGGGCUUUGUGAUGCGCUCUCAAAGAGUCGAGUUGUUUGGGAAUGCAGCUCUAAAUGGGUGGUAAAUUCCAUCUAAAGCUAAAUAUUGGCGAGAGACCGAUAGCGAACAAGUACCGUGAGGGAAAGAUGAAAAGAACUUUGGAAAGAGAGUUAAACAGUACGUGAAAUUGUUGAAAGGGAAACGCUUGAAGUCAGUCGCGUUGGCCAGGAAUCAACCUUGCUUUUGCUUGGCGUACUUUCUGGUUAACGGGUCAGCAUCAAUUUUGACYGRUGGAUAAAGGUUAGGGGAAUGUGGCAUCCUCGGAUGUGUUAUAGCCUCUGGUCGCAUACAUCGGUUGGGAUUGAGGAACUCAGCACGCCGCAAGGCCGGGUU